GUGCAACUUGAGGCUGAUUCCUCUUGCCCUGCCCCCUGUUACCUGGGAGAAGAGGCAGACAUCCACCUCACUGCCACCUCCUUCCAGGUUGUUGGUCACACCUCUCAGUGCCUUCCUGGUGUUGCCUCUGUUUAGCAGAGAGAGACUGCUCUGCUGUCGAUGAAACACCCAGCCCCAGUUUUACCAAUGAGGUUUGAGAUAUAAAUAUGGAAACACAACUAAAAAUGGGCCUUAAGUACAAUACUUGGUAUUCUCAGUGGUUUGUAUUUAGAACUUCAGAGACUCAUCGAGUAUCAAUGACAGCCUUGGAGUUUUCAGAGAGGUUUGCCAAUAUAUUAGAAGGUAACUAGAAAGAACUAGCAAUUGAUAAUGAACACAAGGCAAACCACAGGGAGAGAUGGAGUCCAAAGAACUGAUAUUCUGCCCUGCGUGCUUUGAACGUGGUGGCUGAAGAAAACAAAGUCCUUCAGAUCUCUCUGAGGCUAAGGGGAAACUGCUAAAAUACCCUUUGAGCCUCUUCUUGCAAGACAUAUCAGAGAUCUCAGGGGAAGCUUGUUGUCCUUCUUCUUCCAGCCAAGUUCCGUAGUCAGAGGAACUCUGGAUAACUUCUAAUUUACCCUUUGAAUCUUAAAACAUCGCUUCAAAAUUGGCGAUGCUGGCGCUAACCUUUGGUGCCGCGGCGGGAAGGAAACACGGAAAGUGCACAUUAUCACCGGGAAGACAGGAGGGUCGGUCUGUCCUGCGGCAGGUAAGCGUUUACGGCGUCUCUGUCACUGCUUUCCCUGCAGAGGGGGGUGAGGUGCGGGCAGGACGCGGUUCUGCGGGGGGGGGGACCCCGGAGGCAUCUGCGGUGCCGCGGUUUAAAAGCGGCCGGGGACGAUGCGCAAGGGACAGAGCGG